CCCUCCGGGCAGGGGAGGUAGGCCUGGGCCUGACGCCGGCCACGCAGCGGCGGGAGAGUGAGCACUCGGGCGGCGGCGUCCUGGAGACCCGCGAGAGAUGGAAGCGGCGGCGACGCCGGCGGCUGCCGGGGCGGCGAGGCGCGAGGAGCUAGAUAUGGAUGUAAUGAGGCCCUUGAUAAAUGAGCAGAAUUUUGAUGGGACAUCAGAUGAAGAACAUGAGCAAGAGCUUCUGCCUGUUCAGAAGCAUUACCAACUUGAUGAUCAAGAGGGCAUUUCGUAAGUGUUAUGGUUUAUAAGUCUCCUUUUCUUUUAAUUCAGUAUGUAUUUUGUAAUCUUCUUCUACAGGCAAGACAUUCUAUUACAUUACAAGACACAAAUAUAAGACAUAGUCUCCACCUUCAAUGAGUUUAUAGUCUAUUUGGGAAAGAAAUGCGUUUAAAUCACAGAGCAGUGUAUAGGAAUUACUGGAGUGAUGAUGCGUAACAAAUGCUAGGGAUCUUGAAAGAAGGGAGAUCUGAUUAAGUGGAACAGGAAUGUUAAGAGAAGUGAUGUCUGAAAUGAUCAGGAGGUAGUACAUGCUUCUUUAUACUGAAACAAAGUCGUGGAGGUAGAAAUGCAUUGUAACUUUUGAAAACCUUUUUUGACAUUUUGUCAUCGUUAAUAGAUUUGAGUAACUUCUCAUUCUAAUAAUAGUUUAAUGGUUCAGCAAAGUAAUAUGCAAUUGAUCAGAAAAGAAGAAUAUAAACU
rnacentral:lncRNA from 1 species